AGAAACUUGUUCAUUUUUUAUGUAGUAUGGCUAGAUCUGUUAUCAAUGCAGUAAAAAACACAAUAAUACAGAUUUACUUUGAUUGUCCAUUCAAGUCUAAUUCCAAUGAGCGAUGCAAUUUACAUCAAUAUGUAAAAUACACCAUUCUAAAUGUAGCUUGAUACUAUUAAUCUAUGUA